UGGCUCAGGAUGAACGCUAGCUACAGGCUUAACACAUGCAAGUCAGGGGGCAGCGGAAUUGAAGCUUGCUUCAAUUGCCGGCGACCGGCGGCACGGGUGAGUAACGCGUAUCCAACCUUCCGUACACUCAGGGAUAGCCUUUCGAAAGAAAGAUUAAUACCUGAUGGUAUGAUGAGAUUGCAUGAUAGCAUCAUUAAAGAUUCAUCGGUGUACGAUGGGGAUGCGUUCUAUUAGGUAGUAGGCGGGGUAACGGCCCACCUAGCCUACGAUGGAUAGGGGUUCUGAGAGGAAGGUCCCCCACAUUGGAACUGAGACACGGUCCAAACUCCUACGGGAGGCAGCAGUGAGGAAUAUUGGUCAAUGGACGUAGAGUCUGAACCAGCCAAGUAGCGUGAAGGAUGAAGGUCCUACGGAUUAUAAACUUCUUUUAUAAGGGGAAUAAAACCUCCCACGUGUGGGAGCUUGUAUGUACCUUAUGAAUAAGCAUCGGCGUCGACGCGGCCG
rnacentral:rRNA from 1 species